CUCACCUGUUAUCGUUGACAAAAACAAACAAAAAACUUAAAACUGACGAAAGCGUUCGUUGACGAAGAGAUUAUAACACAUUCCAAAAUGACACAACGACAAAAUUACUGAUUGUACCUUAAAGUGACGCAAUACUUUGAAUAACCACAGGAUGGUAGCAGAUCGCUUGUGUUGCCUGAGAGUGCUGCGUCAUGCCAAGCAAGUUAGAUCGUGCUCUCCAUGCAUGGUGCUUCAGGCAAAACAGGGUGGCUUUGAUCAGGCUCUUAUAUCAACGGUGGAUUCGGUGUCAGCUCACCCGGAUUCCACAGAACCCUGCAGCCCCG